rnacentral:rRNA from 1 species
UACGUAGGGGGCAAGCGUUGUCCGGAAUCAUUUGGCGUAAAGCGCGCGUAGGCGGCCCGGUAAGUCCGCUGUGAAAGUCAAAGGCUCAACCUUUGAAUGUCAGCGGAUACUGCCGGGCUAGAGUCCGGAAGAGGCGAGUGGAACUCCUGGUGUAGCGGUGGAAUGCGCAGAUAUCAGGAAGAACACCAACGGCGAAGGCAGCUCGCUGGGACGGAACUGACGCUGAGGCGCGAAAGCGUGGGUAGCGAACAGG